ACGGAUAAAAGGUACUCUGGGGAUAACAGGCUGAUACCGCCCAAGAGUUCAUAUCGACGGCGGUGUUUGGCACCUCGAUGUCGGCUCAUCUCAUCCUGGGGCUGAAGCAGGUCCCAAGGGUAUGGCUGUUCGCCAUUUAAAGAGGUACGCGAGCUGGGUUUAGAACGUCGUGAGACAGUUCGGUCCCUAUCUACCGUGGGCGCUGGAAAUUUGAGAGGAUCUGCUCCUAGUACGAGAGGACCAGAGUGGACGAACCUCUGGUGUACCGGUUGUGACGCCAGUCGCAUCGCCGGGUAGCUAUGUUCGGAAGGGAUAACCGCUGAAAGCAUCUAAGCGGGAAGCCUACCUCAAGAUAAGAUUUCCCUAGGACUUUAUGUCCUCUAAAGAGCCGUUCGAGACUAGGACGUUGAUAGGUUGGAUGUGGAAGCAUAGUGAUAUGUGAAGCUGACCAAUACUAAUUGCUCGUGAGGCUUGACUAUACAACACCCAAGCAGUUG
rnacentral:rRNA from 1 species